rnacentral:lncRNA from 1 species
CGAAUUCAACAACAAUGAAGCUGAGCUUCAUGUCCUUGAUCUACUUGAGAUAGACCUGAUUCUCUGAAGAUACGUUAUCGGAAAACAGUGCCAGACCCAGCAGUAUGGAAUGCCUAAACGUACCGAAUUUGUUUGAAAAAAUACCAUUAACGGGCGACACCAAAGCGUUGUAAAGUAAACCGACGGUUUUAUCCCCGAAGACUGUUAUGAUGCUUCCAGCUUUUCGGAAAUCUCUCAGCGCCAAUUACUCAAUAUGAUUUCAAGGCCUUCUUUCAUAACGCUGAUCCCACGAGAUGAUCGUUGAUAAACGUCAAAUGCGAGAUUGAUCUCUUUGCAUUGUUCGGAGGCGUUCAUGUUUGAGCCAAGGCACCACAUACGGAGAGGAAACACAUAAGCUAGAGGGAAAACCUUGAAAAUCGAAAAGCACAUCGUAAGGCCAGCCUUCGUCAAUUCUCCGAUAUCUAGUUAUCUACCGCGUGAUACAAUUCAACUACUAGUACAGAUAGUACGUUCCUCGCAGCUUUAUGGAUUACAGAUUUCCUUUACGCGCAUCUGUCACUUAUUGGAGUGACGUUCAGUCUACAGUUUUCAAUCAAGGUUCUUCUUCCUCUAUGGGAAUUUCUUCAAAUGACUAAAAAUGUCGA